rnacentral:rRNA from 1 species
CCUACGGGUGGCAGCAGUGAGGAAUAUUGGUCAAUGGUCGGGAGACUGAACCAGCCAAGCCGCGUGAGGGAUGAAGGUACAGAGUAUCGUAAACCUCUUUUGUCAGGGAACAAAGGCGGGGACGUGUCCCCGGAUGAGUGUACCUGAAGAAAAAGCAUCGGCUAACUCCGUGCCAGGAGCCGCGGUAAUACGAGGGAUGCGAGCGUUAUCCGGAUUUAUUGGGUUUAAAGGGUGCGCAGGCGGUCUGUUAAGUCAGCGGUAAAAGCCCGGGGCUCAACCCCGUCCCGCCGUUGAAACUGGCAGUCUAGAGUUGGGGAGAGGUAUGCGGAAUGCGCGGUGUAGCGGUGAAAUGCAUAGAUAUCGCGCAGAACUCCGAUUGCGAAGGCAGCAUGCCGGCUCCACACUGACGCUGAGGCACGAAAGCGUGGGUAUCGAACAGGAUUAGAUACCCGAGUAGUC